rnacentral:rRNA from 1 species
CACUAUACUGUCGAGCACAGCACUCUACAGUCGAGCACAGCACUCUACAACCCAAUUCAGGGCGUUGCUCGCGUUGGGAGUAGGAAUCAAUGGUAGUCCAUUACGACUCAUGAUUAAGGAAACUGUCAGUGAUAAACUGGAAGAAGGAGGGGAUGAUGGCAAGUCAUCAUGGCCUUUAUGGAGUGGGCUACACACGUGCUACAAUGGCGGCUACAAUGGGCUGCAAAGGACCCACUGCGUACCGAGCUGUACCUCUACGACUCGAGCU